GGGGAUGUAGCUCAGUGGUAGAGCGCAUGCUUUGCAUGUAUGAGGCCCCGGGUUCAAUCUCCACAGGGCUGCUUUU